rnacentral:rRNA from 1 species
GACAGAGGGUGCAAACGUUGCUCGGAAUUACUGGGCGUAAAGCGCGUGUAGGCGGACCAGCAAGUCGGACGUGAAAUCCCUGAGCUCAACUCAGGAACUGCAUCCGAAACUGCUGGUCUGGAGUGUGGAGAGGGAAGCAGAAUUCCUGGUGUAGAGGUGAAAUUCGUAGAUAUCAGGAGGAACACCGGUGGCGAAGGCGGCUUCCUGGACACUUACUGACGCUGAGACGCGAAAGCGUGGGGAGCAAACAGG